UACGGAGGGUGCAAGCGUUAAUCGGAAUCACUGGGCGUAAAGCGCUCGUAGGCGGUUUGGUCAGUCAGAUGUGAAAGCCCUCGGCUUAACCGGGGAACUGCAUUUGAUACUGCCAGACUUGAGUGUCGGAGAGGGUGGCGGAAUUCCGGGUGUAGGAGUGAAAUCCGUAGAUAUCCGGAGGAACACCAGUGGCGAAGGCGGCCACCUGGACGACAACUGACGCUGAGGAGCGAAAGCGUGGGGAGCAAACAGG
rnacentral:rRNA from 1 species